rnacentral:ncRNA from 1 species
UGACCUCAGAUCAGGCAAGGCUACCCGCUGAAUUUAAGCAUAUUAAUAAGCGGAGGAAAAGAAACUAACAAGGAUUCCCCUAGUAAUGGCGAAUGAAGCGGGAACAGCUCAAAUUUAAAUCUCCGUGCUGCAA